GAGGAAAAGAAACUAACAAGGAUUCCCCUAGUAACGGCGAGUGAAGCGGGAACAGCUCAAACUUGAAAUCUCCGUUGCUUGCGACGGCGAAUUGUAGUCUCGAGAAGCGUCUUCAAGACGGAUGUGUAGUGCUUAAGUUGUUUGGAACGGCACAUCGUAGAGGGUGACAAUCCCGUACGUGGCACUACGCACUGUUCACGAUGCGCUUUCUAUGAGUCGGGUUGCUUGGGAAUGCAGCCCAAAAUGGGAGG
rnacentral:rRNA from 1 species